CCUACCUCUCCCAGUUCCGAACUUUCCUUUUUCACUUCUUUCACAACCCUUUGCUAUUUCCAUUUUCUCUCUUUUCAAUGGAAAAAUUAAGUAUUUUUUCCUUUGGUUCAUAGAAAUUAAGAUCGGUGAAUUAACUAUUUGGAGUUGAAAUAGAGUGAGAGAAGAUAGGGUUUAAACAAGGACAGUUUUUCAUCGCGUCAGGAUCGCUAAUAGCUUCUUUGUAUAUGGAUUAGAGAUACUUGG